UCGUUUGAAAUAGCAUAUCUUCAAUACUUUCAUUUGUUCACAGUUGUACGGGAAGAUACAAGGUUUAAAGACGUACGCAACUACCUCUCCCUCAACGUUUAGGUAUCUGCCAUUAUAUGAGACGGAACGGUGUUAUUUUGAUACCGUGAAAAAAGCCACAGCAGAUGGUUGUGAGUUUUCCAGAGGCCGUCGUGCAAAGUAUUGCUCUGCAAACUUUACCCGUGAUGGAAACAGCACAAAAUUCAACGCAAUGAAUGUCACCUGCAAAGGUCACCUCAGUUUUGCGGAUGCCUAUCGUCUCCCCGAAAAUGACAGAUAUGGAAAGACCCUAUACUAUGUGCUCCGGGCGACGAAGGGCACGAAACUCGACGAGAGUACAUGCUGGAAAAAAUUGCAGAAUAUAAGCCGGGAAACGAGGAAGAACAUAACAAUGUGUUUUACAAAAACAGAAAGACCGUUCUAAAUACGAUAUGAGUAAUGAAAAUUUCCCUGAAAUGAAAUUCUGUUACAGCCUCUUAUCUCUUCAAAAUAUUUUUCCGAGCUUCUCCUGGAACUCUGUCAAUUAUUGUA